CUCGGCAUGUGGUGCAGCUCAGAAAGUGGCGAAUGGGCCAGGAUGUAGGGAUAGACUGCAGAAGUGAAACCCAGCGCAGUGUGAGAAUGGUCUUCAAAACAUGGAUCUAACCACAGAUUAUAUUCUUUCCAUUCAUGGACACAGGUGGAGUCACUUUCAGACAGGUAAUACUCAGUACCU